UCUAUCUAUCUAUAUUUUUACAACUUUUAUCUCUGUCUUCCUGCCCAAAGACAAAUGUCGUUGACCGAAUCCAUAAAGUCUACCCAAACACUCUUAAGGCCACAAUGGACCUACAUUCCUGGCCUUCACUCGAUUUCCGGAUCUCUUCUUGCCCGGGGCUAAGAUACUGAAAUAAGGACUUAUUAAAAUUAACAUACUUGCAAUUCCGGUUCUUGGAAAGAUGGGCUUGUUUCUGAGAUCUUUACCCAAGGAAAACUCCGUCUGUUUUUGCUGAAAUCUUUAGCACUUCGUGUUUGAUGAAGACAUCUGCUUCUGGUUUCAAAUAAUCUCAUUUGGGACACCUAGGGCCAAUGCUACGCCUCAGUCCCCUUCGGUCAACAACACCCACUCGACAACUCUCAAGCCAGUAGCUGUUUGUUUUCCUGCGGUGAAACACGCGGAUAACACAUCUUUUGAGUAAAACAAUGUCAUUGUGUAGCCACUGUCAUCCUUCGAUGGAUGAGGUCAAGACACUCCUCAAAAUCGCUCUCAGGGAUAAAUUUUGUUGGUGGUUGGGAAAGCGGAGUGGGGGAAUGUUUCGCGAUUGGGAAAACAGCUCAUUUUCCCGGUUGGGCGGGGGGGUGGCUUGGACGUGCUCCUAGUGCGACGACGCAGACAAGGCGCCCAUCCGAGCCGUCCGGUCCCUUUGUCCUACACCCCACCCUGGAGGUAUGAGGAUCCGCGCAAUGCGGUUCGGAGGCGGCCGCGGCGCCCCAGAGGUGAAAGCGGAGGCGCCAGGACGCCGGUGCCGGCCUCUCAGGAUGCUAGGCGGCCACACACGAGAUGAGGAAACUGAGGCCCAGAGAGAUCACACAGCUACUAAGUCAAGGAGCUGGGACAGGCGUGGGUGCUGAAAAGUGAUUGAUACUGAUAGUAAAAUUGAGGAAGACAUGAUGUUUUUGUAAUUUGAGAAAAAUCACUGAAGAAUAAACUAUAUGAAGUCAUUGAUGCCAAAUUCCCAGCCCCAGCCUUUGCAGCUGCCCCGCCUGGGGUUCGUCUCUAUGGGAAGGAGUCUUUGCCAUGGACAGAGGCCGUGAUGACGAAGGUCAGGCUUAGAGAUCCAGGAAGUUGAGACAUGGAAAGCAGGAGUGGAGCAAGGAGGGUGGCAAAAAUCAUGACAUUUCACACACUCCGCCCCAGUGGAACCCAUCUUCCUCUGCUGUCUAACUGAAGAACUAGCAAUGCCUUCCAAAGCUAAAGGAAACUCCAGCUCCACGCAACAGAGAUAAAAGAAGCUGAAGGGAGUAGACAAAUAAAAAGCUUUUCCUGAAACAUCAGCCACGUUAACCACAUCCUGCUCUGACAGUAGCCAGCCUGAGAAUGUUUUGGGAAGGGUAGUGUGAACCACGAGGUGAAUUUAAAUCUGUGCAAGGCAGGAACAUAUGGAGCAUCUGAAUCAGUUUACAAACAUUAACUGAGUGCCUAAUAUGUACCAGGCACUUGGUCUACAGUGAUGAUAAAAGUAGACACAACCUUAGCAUGAUUCCUUAACAUGGUUCUUCAAUUCUUUAACAUGCUCACUUCUGGCAGGGGGCAUGUGUGCAUUCACUAGAGGUGAGAGAGUCUAGUCUGGUAGUUUGUUUAGUACUCACUAAUUCUAUACAAAGGGAACAAGAUAAUAGAUAACAUUUAUUGAACUUUUGCUGUGUGCUACACCUAACUU